UGGCUUGUGGCAGCCAAGCGUUCAUAGGGGCGCUGCUUUUUGAUCCUUCAAUGUCAGCUCUUCCUAUCAUAUUGAAGCAUAAUUCAGUGAGCGUCGGAUUGUUUGCCUACUAACAGGGAUUAAGACAUGGGGUUUAGACCGUUGUGAGGCAGGUU
rnacentral:ncRNA from 1 species